CAACUACUCCCUCUGUCCCAAAUUUCUUGUCUUAGAUCUUUCUAGAUACGGAUGUAUCUAAUACUAAAAUGUGACUUGAUACAUCCGUAUCUAGAAUAAUCUAAGACAAGAAUUUUGGGACGGAGGGAGUACUUU
rfam:Triticum aestivum genome assembly, contig: Triticum_aestivum_CS42_TGACv1_scaffold_565543_7AL